GGAGGAGGAGGACAAAGCUGCCUGGGAAGAGUAGUGGAGGACAAAGAGUGUGGUUUGGGGUCAUCCCACCAUUACCUAAUUCUAUCAUCUGACCGAAACUGGCCAUCAUUACUUUGUACCCUGUGCAGGUGCCUGGAACUUAUUUACUGAUCAUUUCUCACCAUUAGAGUCAAGGCUAGGAGGACCCAUAUAUAAGUGGGAGCACGAGUGCGGAGGGGAGAGAUUAAAGAAAGGAAGAAAAGAACGGAGGUUAAUGGAGAAGAAGGCAAGAAGUGAAGGAGCCAGUGUGAGCGAGCGAGAACAGGCUCGUUGUAAUAACCACAGGCAGCUGGGAGAAGUGUGCCCUAGUGGACACCCAUGGACAGAUGGAUUGGGUCACUCCUGUUGAGUUUUACAGAAGUGACCACGUUCGAGGACGGCUUGCCGCAGAAGGCAGCGGGAGUCGGAGGCCUGGGAGGUGGAAGCCCUAGUGGGAGCGCCCUGGUCACUGGGGGAGCCUGAGACUCGGUCUGGAGGAGCUGAAUGAAGCCAGGGAUCAACAAGCUACCAGACCAACAGAAGAAGGUCAGCUGCAGGUUGGGCAACUCUCUUGGUGCAGGGCCCGGAUGGGAGGCCACCAGUUAAAGAAGGCACCGGGAACUACUUCCUGCCCUUGUUUUUAACCUCAUUUUUAAUGGAAUUAUUUAUUGGAAUUAUUUUAACCUCCA